CAGAACCUUGAGAAAUCAACGCAAACGGUUUUCUGGUAACUGCAAACAGACUAAUCAAUUUUGAUGGAAGAAGCGAUAAUGGGUCUCUGAAGUUAACCAGAUUUGCCACCAGUCAUUGGAGGUCCCAGCCAGGGUCAUUCAUCUGCUUUUAGACUUAAACGUCUAUAGAAAACUGCUAUGAUCUGAAGAGACUGGCCAUCAGACUGUUCGGAAGCUUAGCCAGCAUGGCUGCAGGGAACUCCAUUCACCAGCAUUCUUCCUGGCAAGCUUUCCCUAUCUAAGUUAGUAGGUCUUUGUCUAAUCGUCCUAUUGAGAGGAGAAUACAGGCGUUUAGCUGAUACAGGACAGUAAUGCACUGCAUUUUAUCCUGGAGAAAAGCCCGGCAGAGCCAGCAGGCUGAUACCCUCUCAUUUUCUUCAGGACGUUUGGAACCACAAAUCAGCUGGAGGAUAAAGAUGCUCGCUGUACUUAACUGCAGACACCUGCGGAAGAGAAACAGCGUGUCGGUCCUAGAAAGCAUGCUUUGCCAGCUACGCAGGGGUCGGAAGGCAGACUAUCUCAGCAGAAGAGUUUCCUGGUUUCCUGGGAGUGAGGAGGGUGUCUAUUUCUUAAAUAUCUUCUCCUCCAAUGAAAUCCUAGCCGGGACCAUUUUUUCCUGACUACUUCUUUUUAUAAAGUAUCGAUGCUGCCGUCAGAUGAAAACAGUCCCUGAGUUUACUGACAACUGGAAGACUUCUAAUGCUCCAAAGGGAAAUACUUCCCAUUCCUUUGCAUAGAGUUUUCUCAGCCACAGUAGUUCCUCAAAUUCCUGCCGCUCUGAUUUCCUUCUCCCUCCAGUCUAAACCCAUUUUCUUCUUCUCGCUCGGGUCCGCUAACCUUCUCCUCCUGAUGAAAUCAUCCUUCCCAGUGUAGCCCUCCCCGCUCUCGUCUUUUCCUGUCUUGUUCGACUUUGUUAAUGAAAGUAAGUUAAUCUCCAUCCUCUUCGUAAGCUCUGUGGCAUCGAUAAGUUACUCUCUUUUCCUUCAGGAUUCCUUCAUGGAGGAUGACUCUGCCCAACUUUCUAACACAGGUCUUUCAUUUUUGAGUCCACAUUUCCUUUUGCAGUUUCUUGGACUUCCUUUGGUUGGUGUACGGACAGCCAUCCAGUGGAGACGGGGACCACCAGUCCAUUUCACACAGGCCACUGAACAGUCAGAAGAUGGGAGCAACUUUGGUCUCCAGUGACCUGGACUGGAUUCAACUCACUGACCUAGAGGGAAAGGCUCUGUAUCCAUUACUAAUCCCGUGAGCUCUCCAGCCCCCUGAAAAUGAUUCUUUGGUUUUAUUAUUGCAAAGCCCAUUUAUAAAAUCAUGAACUGGAUUUAGGAAAGCAACCAUGAAAUAGCGAGGGACAACAAACUGAUUGAAAUUCCUUCAAGGUCAUGUGGGCUGAAGCCUCGCAGCCAGCAGGAUGGGGGCGAAGUUAUAUAUAGGCACCUUCAUUCUUAUUUCAUAGCAUGACCGGCUCACUUAAACGUGGCAACUUUAGAUCCACUGACCGUGCCUCAAGUAACUAAAUCC
rnacentral:lncRNA from 1 species